UAUGCUUGAGCUGUGUUUCAUAUACAGUGAUAUGAAACACAGCUCAAGCAUAUUCAAAGAUUGGAGUGCAAUGCUAGGCACUCUAGCACAAUCAGCCUUUUCUUGUCUUGUGUUUUUUUCUUAUGCAAAAUUUUGCUGCCUUGAAGUUAAAUAUCACUUUGAAAGGGCAUUACAGACGUAGUAUCCAAUUUUGGAAAAUCAUGCAAACUCUUGGCCCUUACCACGAAUCCAAACCCAACUGUUUAUUCGAACAAAAAUAGAGCUUCCACUUUUUGUCAAUUUGCACCUUUAAAGCUUACAAUAGUCUCCUAUCUCCUCGAUUCAUCAAAAACCAAAAAGAAAAUCUCCUCUCUCAAAGAAUGGUUCCAAAAUCCACAAAGAAAGCCGCAAUUUUGCUACUCUGUAUCGAUCGAUUCAAUGUCUACUUGCUUCAAAAUCACAGAACUACAUGAAUGCAAGCGUUUCAACUUUCCAAAAUACUAUGUGAAUUUCUUUGUUACUUUCUUCCAGAUCCAGCUAUAAAACACAGUGUAUUCCAAUUUGGGAAAGAAAGACAUGCCCUCUAUAAUCAAGUUCAUUGUCCAACUUCGUGUUUUCAUAGCACUAGAAAUUCAACAUCAGAGUGGGUGGAACUGUAUCAGUAGCUCUCAAGGGAAAUGCAUUGUUUGGAACAAAUUCUGUAACUGGCGAGCAGAGGGGCUUUAUAUAAGCUACAUCUGUUACAGAAUUGACUCGUGUCAGUGAAACAAAAGGUCGAUGAUACAUUCCAACCGAGAAACAAUUGGUUGAUCCAUUUCGUCGAGGGGUCAUCAUUAAAGGAGGAGUUGGAUACAGACAAACUGUUGUUACUUACAAGGUCAUUUGAAGUUGGUGCUGAUAAAACUGCAACAUUAGAAAGCAUUCUCAACCUUCUUCAGGAAACAGCAUUGAACCAUGUAUGGAUAUCUGGACUGCUAGGUGAUGGUUUUGGUGCCACGCAUGGCAUGGUAAGCAAUAACCUCGCAAGGGUUGUAACAAGGAUGCAAGUUCGAGUUGAUGAAUAUCCAGUUUGUAAGCCCAGUCACUUGUGUGAAAGAAAAUUAUUGAUGCGUUGAACCACCAAGGUGUAGUCACAUUUUUGGUGAGUUGAGGAAGUGGAUGCUUGAGAAGCUUAAUGGUUUUUGUAGGGGUGGAGUAAUGGAGGUUGACACAUGGGUAGGGGCAUCAGGUAAAAAUGGAAUCAGGCGAGACUGGCUUAUCAGAAGUGAUGCCACCGGAGAAGUCUUAGCUCGGGCUACAAGAACUUGGGCGAUGAUGAACCAACAAACUAGACGACUAUCAAAGAUGCCAGAAGCAAUCAGAGCGGAGAUUUCACCUGGGUUUAUAGAAUAGAAAACUUUUCAAGAAGAAAUUCCUGAAAGAUCAACAAGCUAAACACGAAUGCCAAAUUUACAAACAGCAACGUGAAGGUGAUCUUCUAUAAUAGUGCUUUCUAUAUCAAUAACAGACUUUGGCUGGACCAACAAAAAAAAUAUUAUUUUUGUGAUCAUACUUGUAUAAUUUCACGAUCAAAAGAACAUUAGAUGCACAAUCAACCAACAGAAAUGGUGAUAAUUUUUACCUCAAUCCAGGCGCAGAAAUAUGCUGACAACUUUGCCUGGUGUCCCUGUAACCCGAGAGAAGUGAUUUGGAUAUGAAUCACCAUGUGAACAAUGUUUAGUGUACGUAAAUUGAAUGCUGGAUGUAAACACAUAUAACUUCCCUGGCUAACCAUUCUCAUUACAAAAUUUGGAUAGCCAAACAAGAGAAUUCUAGUGUCUCACUUCCUAAACGGACCAUCCCUCAGAAGUUUUUGGAGACCUACCAGCUAACCAGGAUAGCUUUCGAGUGUAGAAGAGAAUGUGGCAGUUGUUCAGACGUGGUUCAAUCACUAUGUGAACCUGAAGAAGAGUGUUCUGAAGAAAGACAUCAAGACAGUAAUAACGUUGACAAUGGAGAUUCACUAGCAUCACUUUUGUUUCAGGACCGUAACCACAGCAAGUCAUUAAAAAACAUACACCCAUCUUCUACAGAUUAAAGGAGAAAAGGAGAGUGAUGAGAUUGUUCGGGGUGAACUGUGUGGAAAAGAAAGCUCUAAACUAUGCAAUUGAUACCUAGUGAGCUCCAGCAAAGCGCGAGGCUAUAUGUAGUCGCAACUACCAACACAGCAACAUUUUUGCAGACAAGAGUGUUGAGACUUCUACUACAGCCUCGAGCAAUCAAGUAUAUGAUAUAGUCACAUACAUAAGGGCAGGCCUGGCUUGCUCUCUUAGUUUCGU